AAAAAGCCUUAGCAAGCUUCCCAAAAUAGGCCAGACGCUCCCAGUGCUUUUUGUCUUCUCUGAUCUGUAACAGCCAUUGCCUCUGGAAAUCUGUUUGCAUUUACCGCAUUUGUGAGCACCCCCAGUCAGCACAGCAGAAACAAAGUCGCUCUUGAUUCUCCCCACCCAAAUCACACCUCACACUGCACCCUACUCUGCUUUUGAGGGGCUUUCACUGGCUGUGCUGGGCUGUGGGACGCUGCAGCUAAAAUUUGAUCUAGGCAAGAACAGACGGGUAGAGAGGUCUCUGUCAGAGUGGGUCAGGAAAAGAGCUGAGACCCGCGUGCCCCAGCCAGGCAGUGACUGACACACUCCUUGCACCAAGCUGACACCAGCACAAGCCAAGGCCCUGCAGCUGCCAAGGGGUGCCCUGGCUGUACCCCACUGAGCAGCUCCUGCACAGCCCCCCUUCUCCCCUGCACACGCUGCCACUGCCCAGCCAGAGCCAGGCAGCAGGCACGCAUUAUAUAAGGCUGCUCCAGGAUGCUUCAGCACUGAGUGAUGGAUACACUGGAAAAUGUUUUUCAUUGCCUCCCUCAUCGGGGAGCCCAGUGCUCUGUGGAAGACUCUGAUCCCACACUGCUUCUAGGCUGCUGGAGUUAAACAUAAAGCCACGUAAAGAAAGGAUUAUUCAAUAUGCAUCAACAUAAGCAGAUACAUCUUACUGUAAAAUAGGGCCUUGGCUUAAUCUCUUCAUGGGAAUUCAGGGGAGAUGAAAAGCAGAGAGCAAAGAUCUGCAAGAUGACAGCAGCACCAGACGCAUUGUUUAUGUUUCAGAGUGGCCCCUACACCAACUCAUAUGUGAAAAAGGUUACUCAGGGUAGGCUGUGUUUAUGCCAUACGAGUUUCUGUUAUCUCUUUUAUUAUAUUGCCUAAGUGCAUAAUAAUAAUUUAUUUGUAGCACUCCUUGAAGUAGAUAAACGCCAUUAUCCUUAUUUUGCCUGGAGAGCUUAAAGGUCAGAUUUUUAUGCACAGGAAGGUGCCCAGCUCAUACUGUAAUUAAAGGAAGUUAUAUACCUACAUAUUUUGACAACAGAAAUCAGUGAGGCUGUUAGGAAUUUCAGGUUGCAGGCAAACCUAUCCGCUAAUUUUAUACAAUUGAAAGUGCUCUGCUCUUGUAAAAAUUCUAAUUUUUCUUUUCUUUUUCAGCUAAAUUCAAAUAUCUCAACACAGUCUCCACUCUGUCAGACACCUCUGCUGUCUAAGAUGUACUGGUUACUAAAGAGUCAUGGGUGGUUUUUUUCUUUUUUUCGUAAGCUUCCUUCCCAGAUAGGCAAUCUCUCACUUUGUUGGGGUUGUUUGUUGUUUUCUUAUACUUUCCCUUUAGUGAUUAUUCCACAGAUUUCUGGAAUUUUACAGAGGAAAAGUCUUACAGCAUCUUCAAUUAACAACCAUCCCUUCAAAUUGCACCUCCUGUUUCAGUGCAUUCAGCACAGAACAAAACAUGAGUCCUGUCUCGCAGGCUGCUCCGAGAUCUGCUGUGUCUGAAAAUCCUGGUCUCAGGUGUGGGCUGGAAAAUCUAUUCUUAGGAGACAGUUCUUUCCCACCUUGAGUGUAUAACUCGCCAUCACUUGCAAUAGUUUCUUGAAUCCCUGACACUGGAAUCCAUACAGCAGAGCUGGCAGAGGAUGAGAGUGAGGAGAUGGGAAAACAAACGUGAAGAUGUUGUAACCUUUUAGUCUUGUGCUGUCAGCUCAGCACCCCAGGAUGCCUGACUGGACUUGCACACCUUGUACUAACACAGACAGUGACUGUGCAGGGAGCUGUGGUGACUCAGGUCUGCUCUGUGCAUCCUCCAAACCAACACCAGGGAGCUAAGGCAAUACCCGACGUGAAACGAAGCAGCACGGGGCUGUCUCACAACACUGCUCUCUGCACCAUGUCUCUCCUAAUCAGCCUUCUGGACCGAAAGCAGAGGCCUGUGCUGCACACAGGGCCCAGCCUGUAGCACGCACAGUGCACACGUCCUAUUGGAUUACAGGGCAGAGUGCACUCACAUGCUCUGCUUGUCAGAGCCCAGCGUGCCUCUGCAAGAAGGAAA